rnacentral:lncRNA from 1 species
CGAUAGUCACCUUCAUUUUCCAUAAAACAGCCUAGACCUUUCCCCAAAUAAAUCAAUUUUACUUUUACAAUAACAUAAUCUUAUUCCUACAAGCAUGACUCUUAAUAUAUGUUUGGAAGUAGCAAAAUUCUUUUAAAAACACACCAUUUGCUCUUUUUGUAACAUAACUAAAAUCAUAUAUUUUCCUAAACAGGUGUGGUAAAGUCACUGUUUUUAUCCACCAGCUCUCUUGUCAUGAAAUAUGGAGAAUAGAAGGUCAUGGUUUUGAGACCUUUCUUGGAGUCCAAAGGCAACACAGAAAUUGACAAAAUCAGAACACAACAAAAUGUAGGUUCUCUUGCUUCAAGUGGACAUUCAUUCCAUUACAGCAUGCAAGGCAUGUCCGGCUUGACAGAAUUAGCGGAGAAGAUGUGAGACGCUGGAGUUUUAGAUAAAUCAAUGACAUUAGAUUGCUAAAUCUGGAAUUUGCUUCUCAAGAAAAAAGAGGGAAGAAAGAAGGAAGCAAAAAAGGAGAGAGAAGAAAAGGAGAGAAAAUAAGCUUAAUUUUUGUUAUUCAAUUCUUUACUUUGUACUUUCUCACUGUCAAUAAUAUAAUCGUAAAAAUAACAAAUAGUAUAAUUAAUGUAAUAUUAUAUAUACUUAUAGUAUAUGGUGUUAUAUAACAAAACAAAGCAAUAAAGAAGUAUAUUUGAAAAAUCUAAAUCUUUGA